rnacentral:lncRNA from 1 species
ACCACUCUCACUGGAGAAUCAUCUGUCGACAUGCUGUAAGGCUCCAUCAGAUAUUUUUUUCGUGACUCAGCUCAGUAAACUCAUUCUCUAAUGAGCACCUAUAUCUUUGUAUUAGUGUCACCACACAAGUGAUUGUGAGAUCAACCACCCUCUCCAUCGAGUAUACAUAGGAUAUACCAGUCUUACCAAUAUCAUCAAUCCCCAACUCGAUGAUCCAAUGAUUGAGAAUAUUUUAGAUUAGGGCUAUCAAGAUUUUAGGUCUUACUGGCAUGAUCUCAUCAUGGUCCUAAAAAUUAUUGUCCUAAUCUAUGAGGUUUAUCAUAAUCAUAAAAAUAUGAUGCAGC